GCUUUGACCGGGUCGUGGCAGCCGGAGUCGUCUUCGGGACGCGCCUGCUCUUCGCCUUUCGCUGCAGUCCGUCGAUUUCUUUCUCCAGGAAGAAAAAUGGCAUCCGUUGCAGUUGAUCCACAACCGGUAUGAAUUUUGAGUAGCCUUUGUCUACUUUCUCUCCUUUUGUGUUUUGAGAGAUUAAUAAGCAUACCCUCCCUACUUUGAUUGCAGAGUGUGGUGACUCGGGUGGUCAACCUGCCCUUGGUGAGCUCCACGUAUGACCUCAUGUCCUCAGCCUAUCUCAGUACAAAGGACCAGUAUCCCUACCUGAAGUCUGUGUGUGAGAUGGCAGAGAACGGUGUGAAGACCAUCACCUCCGUGGCCAUGACCAGUGCUCUGCCCAUCAUCCAGAAGCUAGAGCCGCAAAUUGCAGUUGCCAAUACCUAUGCCUGUAAGGGGCUAGACAGGAUUGAGGAGAGACUGCCUAUUCUGAAUCAGCCAUCAACUCAGAUUGUUGCCAAUGCCAAAGGCGCUGUGACUGGGGCAAAAGAUGCUGUGACGACUACUGUGACUGGGGCCAAGGAUUCUGUGGCCAGCACGAUCACAGGGGUGAUGGACAAGACCAAAGGGGCAGUGACUGGCAGUGUGGAGAAGACCAAGUCUGUGGUCAGUGGCAGCAUUAACACAGUCUUGGGGAGUCGGAUGAUGCAGCUCGUGAGCAGUGGCGUAGAAAAUGCACUCACCAAAUCAGAGCUGUUGGUAGAACAGUACCUCCCUCUCACUGAGGAAGAACUAGAAAAAGAAGCAAAAAAAGUUGAAGGAUUUGAUCUGGUUCAGAAGCCAAGUUAUUAUGUUAGACUGGGAUCCCUGUCUACCAAGCUUCACUCCCGUGCCUACCAGCAGGCUCUCAGCAGGGUUAAAGAAGCUAAGCAAAAAAGCCAACAGACCAUUUCUCAGCUCCAUUCUACUGUUCACCUGAUUGAAUUUGCCAGGAAGAAUGUGUAUAGUGCCAAUCAGAAAAUUCAGGAUGCUCAGGAUAAGCUCUACCUCUCAUGGGUAGAGUGGAAAAGGAGCAUUGGAUAUGAUGAUACUGAUGAGUCCCACUGUGCUGAGCACAUUGAGUCACGUACUCUUGCAAUUGCCCGCAACCUGACUCAGCAGCUCCAGACCACGUGCCACACCCUCCUGUCCAACAUCCAAGGUGUACCACAGAACAUCCAAGAUCAAGCCAAGCACAUGGGGGUGAUGGCAGGCGACAUCUACUCAGUGUUCCGCAAUGCUGCCUCCUUUAAAGAAGUGUCUGACAGCCUCCUCACUUCUAGCAAGGGGCAGCUGCAGAAAAUGAAGGAAUCUUUAGAUGACGUGAUGGAUUAUCUUGUUAACAACACGCCCCUCAACUGGCUGGUAGGUCCCUUUUAUCCUCAGCUGACUGAGUCUCAGAAUGCUCAGGACCAAGGUGCAGAGAUGGACAAGAGCAGCCAGGAGACCCAGCGAUCUGAGCAUAAAACUCAUUAAACCUGCCCCUAUCACUAGUGCAUGCUGUGGCCAGACAGAUGACACCUUUUGUUAUGUUGAAAUUAACUUGCUAGGCAACCCUAAAUUGGGAAGCAAGUAGCUAGUAUAAAGGCCCUCAAUUGUAGUUGUUUCCAGCUGAAUUAAGAGCUUUAAAGUUUCUGGCAUUAGCAGAUGAUUUCUGUUCACCUGGUAAGAAAAGAAUGAUAGGCUUGUCAGAGCCUAUAGCCAGAACUCAGAAAAAAUUCAAAUGCACUUAUGUUCUCAUUCUAUGGCCAUUGUGUUGCCUCUGUUACUGUUUGUAUUGAAUAAAAACAUCUUCAUGUGGGCUGGGGUAGAAACUGGUGUCUGCUCUGGUGUGAUCUGAAAAGGCGUCUUCACUGCUUUAUCUCAUGAUGCUUGCUUGUAAAACUUGAUUUUAGUUUUUCAUUUCUCAAAUAGGAAUACUACCUUUGAAUUCAAUAAAAUUCACUGCAGGAUAGACCAGUUA